UCCGGCGUGGUCGGGUGCAGGUCGGCCGCCUCGUACGUGACCAGCGACUGCCAGUCGCGCGGAUGCCGUACGAGGUGGUCGCCGAGC
rnacentral:tRNA from 1 species